UGUGUGUGUGUGUGUGUGUGUUGAUCGUGACACAUGGGCGGACAGUAUUUCCUCCAUAACUGUCUGCCAGGUUCAGGAGUGAGUGACACGUUUCUUUUUUAUGAAAAGGGAUAAAAAAGGCACAGGGCUGAUGUAUUUCCAAUAUUGAAGUGACCUAACAUGGUAUUUUCGUGAGUCACAAUUGUGAAGUUUUGUGCGGUUUUUUGUAUUGAUAAUCUGACAUUUAGAACACAUCCUAUUUAUUCUCGUGCUUUGUGUUCAUGUCUCAUGCAUUAUAGAGGGUUCCAGCUUUACUCUUCCUGUCACUUAAAGCAAUAUGAUGAGGGUGGUCCCGCUAAUCUGGCAAGGAGCGGGAGAAGGAAUGGGAGGGAGAGGAGGAAAAAGAACUAACCAGCCUUCAAUAUUUCCCCUUUACUUUAAAAACCAUUUCUUAAAAGCAAUAAUUAAAUCAGACCUUGCU